rnacentral:rRNA from 1 species
AGUGAACGCUGGCGGUAGGCCUAACACAUGCAAGUCGAACGGCAGCACAGUAAGAGCUUGCUCUUACGGGUGGCGAGUGGCGGACGGGUGAGGAAUACAUCGGAAUCUACUUUUUCGUGGGGGAUAACGUAGGGAAACUUACGCUAAUACCGCAUACGACCUACGGGUGAAAGCAGGGGAUCUUCGGACCUUGCGCGAUUGAAUGAGCCGAUGUCGGAUUAGCUAGUUGGCGGGGUAAAGGCCCACCAAGGCGACGAUCCGUAGCUGGUCUGAGAGGAUGAUCAGCCACACUGGAACUGAGACACGGUCCAGGCUCCUACGGGAGGCAGCAUUGUGGAAUAUUGGACAAUGGGGGCAAGCCUGAUCCAGCCAUACCGCGUGGAUGAAGAAGGCCUUCGGGUUGUAAAGCCCUUUUGUUGGGAAAGAAAAGCAGCAGGUUAAUACCCCGCUGUUCUGACGGUACCCAAAGAAUAAGCACCGGCUAACUUCGUG